rnacentral:lncRNA from 1 species
UCAUGCCACAUUUAAUAUUAGCAUCUAGUCAGCCAAUACGUCAUCCUCAAGUCAAAGGACGUAUUGUUGUCCAUUCAGUUGAAAUGUCAAAAUCACCAUCCAGUUUAUGUCGCCUGUCUAGUGACACAUUCAAUUAAUCUUAUCAGCAACACAUCACUAUGCAGUUGUCCUCUCUAGUCAGCAUCUUGGUAAUGUCACAUUGUUAUCAUUGUUCAGUCAGCACCUUGUCAGAUCCAUGUCUUUUUCGCAAUACAUUACUUUUCCUAUCGAUGCUCCUCCGGCAUCACUUUGCUUCCUAGUGGCAAGUUACUUUCCAAUUUAGAUAUAUAGCUCUAGAUGACAUUAUAUGAACAUCGUAGAAUAUUACGUAUUUGACAGUAAAAUAUUUACUUGCCUUGAGAAAUGUGUACUACCUUGAUAAAAAAAAAGAAGGGAAAAUAACAGCUUAACAUAUUGCAAGUAACCUAGGACUAACUAUAUAAAGGAGUUUUUCUCAUAUAUCGUUUCUAAAUUAAAGCAAUAAUUUCUUUCUCUAUUUUAAAAAAAAAAUUGUACUACGGGAGGUCUAACCUUAGAGUCACAUAUCAUGGCUAUUCAUGUGCCUUGACACAUAUUUAAAGUUUGGCAUGUUUGGCUUGGUUAAUUGACCCUUCUUCUAAUGUGUGGGGUUUGAAGACCUUAGUCAAGCUUCUGUCAAGGGGAACAGCUACCAAAUGUGUAUUUAAUUUUUAAUCUGUUGCAAUGUUACUGUCACCGUAUAUGCUCGUGAUUGUACAUGAAAUGCC